CCAUGGCUCGGCACCGCUAGA
rnacentral:miRNA from 1 species